UGAGGGUUAGUGUAGUGUAUGGUUAGUGUAGUGUAGGGUUAGUGUAGUGUAUGGUUAGUAUAGUGUAGGGUUAGUGUAGUGUAGGGUUAGUGUAGUGUAUGGUUAGUAUAGUGUAGGGUUAGUGUAGUGUAUGGUUAGUGUGGUGUAGGGUUAGUGUAGUGUAUGGUUAGUAUAGUGUAUGGUUAGUGUAGUGUAUGGUUACUGUAGUGUAUGGUUAGUGUAGUGUGGCGUUAGUGUAGUGUGGGGUUAGUGUAGUGUGGGGUUAGUGUAGUGUAGGGUUAGUGUAGUGUGGGGUUAGUGUAGUGUGGGGUUAGUGUAGUGUAGGGUUAGUGUAGUGUAUGGUUAGUGUGGGGUAAGGGUUAGUGUAGUGUAUGGUUAGUAUAGUGUAUGGUUAGUGUCGUGUGGGGUUAGUGUAGUGUAGGGUUAGUGUGGUGUAGGGUUACUGUAGUGUAUGGUUAGUGUAUUGUGGGGUUAGUGUAGUGUGGGGUUAGUGUAGUGUGGGGUAGUUGUAGUGUGGGGUUAGUGUAGUGUGGGGUUAGUGUAGUGUAGGGUUAGUGUAGUGUAGGAGUGUAGGGUUAGUGCAGUGUGGGGUUAGUGUAGUGUAGGAUUAGUGUAGUGUAUGGUUACUGUAGUGUAUGGUUAGUGUAGUGUGGGGUUAGUGUAGUGUGGGGUUAGUGUAGUGUGGGGUUAGUGUAGUGUGGGAUUAGUGUGGUGUGGGGUUAGUGUAGUGUAUGGUUAGUGUAGUGUGAGAUUAGUGUAGUGUAUGGUUAGUGUAGUGUAUGGUUAGUGUAGUGUAUGGUAGGAUUAGUGUAGUGUAUGGUUAGCGUAUGUAUGGUUAGUGUUGUGUGGGGUUAGUGUAGUGUAUGGUUAGUGUGGUGUGGGGUUAGUGUAGUGUAUGGUUAGUGUGGUGUGGGGUUAGUGUAGUGUAUGGUUAGUGUAGUGUGGGGUUAGUGUAGUGUGGAGUUAGUGUAGUGUAUGGUUAGUGUAGUGU
ensembl:lncRNA